rnacentral:rRNA from 1 species
GGAUGCCUUGGCAGUUAGAGGCGAUGAAGGACGUGUAAGUCUGCGAAAAGCUGUGGUGAGCCGACAAAAUGCAUUUGAGCCACAGAUGUCCGAAUGGGGAAACCCACCUAUUUAUAGGUAUCGUUAACUGAAUACAUAGGUUAACGAGGCAAACGAGGGGAACUGAAACAUCUAAGUACCCUUAGGAAAAGAAAUCAACCGAGAUUCCCCUAGUAGCGGCGAGCGAACGGGGAGCAGCCCUUAAGCUGUUUAGAAUUUAGUGGAAUCCUUUGGGAAGAGGAGCGAUACAAGGUGAUAGCCCUGUACACGACGGAUUCUUUACAGUGAAAUCGAGUAGGUCGGGACACGUGUUAUCUUGACUGAAUAUGGGGGGACCAUCCUCCAAGGCUAAAUACUCCUAACUGACCGAUAGUGAACCAGUACCGUGAGGGAAAGG